CCUGAACCCCCCCCCCACACACACACACACACCUGCUCUGACUGUCGGGAGUUGGAGAUCAAACACACACCUAAACAAAGGCAAUCGCACCAACACGAACAUUUCCACUUAAACAGGAGAUCAGAAGCCUGACUUGUGUGAUGCAGGCGAGAGAAAUAAAUGUGCUCCGAUUUGUUCAGAGAUAACGCGGUGGGUCGGUUGUUAUGUUACAUUGUUCACCCUGAAUGUCUCUUCCUGCCAAAACAAAGGUGCAUUUUAUGAUUUGUCAGAAAAAAUGUUGAAUAUUGUUUGUUUGGCAUUGUUCCCUAAAGCACAAUGCAAAACUCUUCUUGAUAAAACCUCACACUGAUAUUAAAUCAAUGCUAAAGAAUCAGCUGUAUCAGCAACAAUGGGUGAAUUACUCAAUUACUGAUUUAACCAAUUUGCAGGUUGAAUUCUUUUGAUUUAACAAAUCCGACUUGUUUCGUACCACUACAUAACCACAAAGCACCUCUUUUCUCUCUUUUGCCUUUCAGGAUGUACACGAGAGAGAGAGAGAGCGAGAGAGAGCACUGGCCUAAACAUCAACAUGAGAGCCAAAUGAGAGACAGCCGCACUGUCGGUCGGACACACAGAAGAUGACUCGCUGGCCGCACAUGCUCUGAUUGCGUAGUGAGCGUGCAUUUGUGUGAGAGUUACCCAGUUUGGAGUGUCCAAAGCAGAAGACGCAGCCAUCUGCUCCGUUUACCACCGACUGAAUCACCUCGGCAACCGUUCCCGCGCACACCUCCGCCUAGCAACCGGCAGACAGAGGAGAUGACGGAAGACGGUGGGAAAGCAGCGUCAAAGCUGAACAUCUUUGGAGGAACCUGAUUGGCUCCCGCCUUUUUCUGGGAGGCAGAGCUCGCUGUCUGAUUGGCUGAGGGGUCCAUGAUGGUGAUUUGUUUCUUCC